rnacentral:misc_RNA from 1 species
UGGUUCUGGCAUCGAUGAAGAACGCAGCGAAAUGCGAUACGUAGUGUGAAUUGCAGAAUUCAGUGAACCAUCGAAUCUUUGAACGCACAUUGCGCCCCUCGGUAUUCCGUGGGGCAUGCCUGUUCGAGCGUCAUUUUACCCCUCAAGCACAGCUUGGUGUUGGGCGUCUGUCCCGCUCUCGCAGCGCGGACUCGCCCCGAAAUCAUUGGCGGCGAUCGCGCCGGCUCCUCGCGCAGCACAUUUGCGCGUCUCGGAUGCCCCGGCGGAUCGGCCAGCAAGCUACCCCACAAAUUGACCUCGGAUCAGGUAGGGAUACCCGCUGA